rnacentral:rRNA from 1 species
GUCGAGAAUCUUCCGCAAUGGGCGCAAGCCUGACGGAGCGACACCGCGUGCAGGAUGAAGGCCUUCGGGUUGUAAACUGCUGUCACGUUUUAGGAACGAACGGGCGUUAAUAGCGCUCGGACUGACCAAGGCGAGAGGAAGCACCGGCUAACUCUGUGCCAGCAGCCGCGGUAAGACAGAGGGUGCAAACGUUGUUCGGAAUUACUGGGCAUAAAGAGCACGUAGGUGGUGCGCUAAGUCACGUGUGAAAUCCCCCGGCUCAACCGGGGAAUGGCGCGUGAUACUGGCGGACUUGAGGCAGGUAGGGGUGAGCGGAACUCCAGGUGGAGCGGUGAAAUGCGUAGAUAUCUGGAGGAACACCGGUGGCGAAAGCGGCUCACUGGACCUGAUCUGACACUGAGGUGCGAAAGCUAGGGUAGCAAACGGGAUUAGAAACCCUAGUAGUCC